rnacentral:rRNA from 1 species
GGACUACAAGGGUAUCUAAUCCCGUUCGCUCCCCUGGCUUUCGCACCUGAGCGUCAGGUACUCCCCAGGACACUGCCUUCGCCUUUGGUGUUCCUCCGGAUAUCUACGCAUUUCACCACUCCACCCGGAAUUCCGUGUCCCUCUGAAGCCCUCAAGUCUUGCCGUUUUCCAGACACUUCCCUGGUUAAGCCAGCGACUGUCACCUGGAACGCGCGAGACCGCCUGCGUGCGCUUUACGCCCAGUAACUCCGGACAACGCUCGCCUCCUACGUAUUACCGCGGCUGCUGGCAC